rnacentral:tRNA from 1 species
GGUGGUAGCUCAGUGGUAGAGCACUUGCCUUGCACGCAUAAUGCACUGGGUUCAGUCCUCAGCACCA